GAUGAAGAACGCAGCGAAAUGCGAUACGUAAUGUGAAUUGCAGAAUUCAGUGAAUCAUCGAGUCUUUGAACGCACAUUGCGCCCUCUGGUAUUCCGGAGGGCAUGCCUGUCCGAGCGUCAUUGCUGCCCUCAAGCACGGCUUGUGUGUUGGGCCCCGUCCUCCUUCCGGGGGACGGGUCCGAAAGGCAGCGGCGGCACCGCGUCCGGUCCUCAAGCGUAUGGGGCUUUGUCACUCGCUUUGUAGGCCUGGCCGGCGCUUGCCGAUCAACCAAACUUUUUAUCAGGUUGACCUCGGAUCAGGUAGGGAUACCCGCUGAACUUAAGCAUAUCAAUAAGCGGAGG
rnacentral:misc_RNA from 1 species